rnacentral:lncRNA from 1 species
AGAGCCUGUUCCUGUCUUGCUUCGCCUGCACUACGUGCAUCGAUGCGUGUCGUCCUCUCUCUCUCUCCACACCGGAAAGCAAAAGACAAGAAGACACACCGGGCUGCGAGUUACGGGAUGCGCAAGACAACAACCUAAGAGUCGCGAGGCUGCAAAUUACGGCCGCUUCCUACUCAUCCCGCAACAAUCCAGCGGCUAAUUUGGCGGCGGUUCGCCAGCGUAACAAUCUCCGGGCGCAGCGUAGCGCGAGAGAAAGUAUACGCAGAAGAAGAAGCAGAGGCAGCACCCGAAAUCGAGGUCGCUACGCGUACGUCUCCUUGUAUAGCAUAACGCCAUACCUUUGUUACACGCGCAUGCUCGUGUGUAUACGGCCGGUACUGCCGCGUGUCGUGCGCACACGCACAGAGCGAAAGCUCUAGACCGUGCACGUCUAGAAACGUGGCGCACCAGGUCGCGCCAAGCAGAGCACGUGAAGUUGUGUUUCUAAUAGUUGAUGUCGACGAGUCCCGUCCCGCCUACUAACCCUCCUCUCCCUCCUUGUGCGUUUCAAAUUACAUUCACUUCUGUAGUUGACUGCAGUUGGCGCUCGUCCUUGGGAAAACUCACUCACUUGUUUCGGUCAAUUCCAAGCUUUUUUUUUUUUUUUUAGCGCGUGCGUGCAUGUAUGUCGUUCAAUUAACUCCUCCACUGAAGACGCUCGCAGUCACGAGUGGAAUCAGCAAGCUGUUUUCUAUAUGUUUAUCGCUUUUGUGUUAUGGUCGUGGCGCUCGCAAUUACGAAGUCUUUCUCACUGGGCACCGUUCCGGUGCUGACUUUUGGUGCAGUAUAACCACCUACGCGAAACCACGCAUUUGCGUUCAAGUGCGCUGCCACGUUCCCGCAUACUCGUUCGUUUCGUCCGCAGAAUUCAUCCGCAGGCUCAUGAAAGCGCGCGCAUCAAGCAAGGCCUUGCAUGCAGCUUUCAUUAUCUCCACGCCGACCACGAUUCAGAAAUAGCACUGCGCUCUUUCCUGUUAUUUCCUGUUGGAGCCAUACUAGCCGUUUUCUGCCGAGAGAAUCACUUCUUUGCUUUGGGGUAAACGCAAUAACGGCAGGAACAAUGUGGCACGCACAUAGUAUUAUAGCCAAUAACGUAACAAUAACGACGCUCCUUUCUGUAGGAAAACACAAUGUCCCUAUAGUGCGCUCAUAACUGUUAUUUUCAGUGACUUCCUCCUUCCUUUCAGCAGUAGUUAUUUUCUGUUUGACAGCGUACAAUGGGAGAACUUGAACGCUCGUGAAAGAGAAUACUUUUCCACCUUGCGGGUAUUCUGCGGAAGGGGUUCCAAAGAAGUGUUUUCACGAGUGAAUUCGCCCGGACAUUCUUACAUGCCGCAUCCUCAAAAGAUGAGCCAUUCAAUGGACCCGCCGAUUCUUUGAAAAGCAUGGACGUGAACGAAGACAACAUCCUUUGAAAAGCCAUAUUCAGACGGGAAAGGUUUUCGGCAUUCAUAAAGGACACAACUGACAACAACUUUUCAUCCGUCGAGCCAGUCAACCAUCCUACGAAGUAUGAACGAGUGGUGCAUUCACACGAAUCGACGUAUUGAAAGUCGGGAGGCAUGUAAGCCUUCCCUCCUAGUUCACUUACCUCUCUGAAACUUGAGCGCUUGGUGACUCGUGAAAUUAUAGUGAAUAAGAACGCUAAGGUUUGUAAGAACGAGGUGAACGGGGUAUGAGGAACCUGCGGUGUCCCGUAGGAGGCGCCAUAGCGUUUGUAGUGCACCAUAGAGUCUCGUAGAAACAUUGAUACAGAGAACUCUGACCCUGCAACAUUUCAGCACCCUGAGAAUUAUGGGUAGUGCACUGUAUUUGUCUCGGAAAGGGGAGCAUGGGAAGCCCGUGGA